AGGCAAUUCGUUAAGUUGAGAGUUGGAACAUCUCAACGCGAAGGAUAUAGGUAGUGGGCCGAGAUGUAGUCCACACGGGCCAAUGAUCUGCCUGAGCGGCGGCCCACGAAAAGGCAAUCUCACUUGCCUUUCUGGACCAUGAAAGCCCAUUAGUGUCUCGGCCCACGUAAAGAAAUCGGUGGUCAGACAUAGGCGUAGGAAGCCCAAACCCGCAUCUACGUCUCCCCCUACCCCAAAGCCGGCGGCGAGCAGCGGCGGAGGAGGAAGCAGCGGCGGCAGCAGCAGCAGCCAGGCCAUGGCGUCGUCGUCGACCCCGGCGGCCGUCCGCGAGAUGCAGAAGGAUCUCGAGGUGCAGGCCAACGCCCUCAGCAAGAUCCAGAAAGACAUCGCCAAGAACCACCAGGUCCGCAAGCAGUACACCAUCCAGGUCGGCGAGAACGAGCUCGUCCUCAAGGCACGCACCGCACCCCGCGCAGCUUCCUCGCCUCUUAAUAACUCUCAAGGUUUUGCUGAUUUCUUCGCCGUGAGUGCCUUACUCGAUUCGUGGCUGUGCUUGCUUGCUUGCAGGAGCUGGAGCUGCUCAGCGAUGGGGCUAACGUGUACAAGCUCAUCGGACCGGUGCUGGUCAAGCAGGACCUCGCGGAGGCCAAGGCUAACGUUAAGAAGCGCAUUGAGUACAUCACGGCAGAGCUGAAGCGGAUGGAUCGGGCUCUCAAAGACUUGGAGGAAAAGCAAAACAGCAAGAAGGAAUCGAUAUUCAAGUUGCAACAGAGGAUGCAGGCUGUACAAGCUAAGGCUUAGACAUCUGCUUGUUUGUUGCAACCAGUCCAAGUCCAUGCUGCAUUUCAUCCUAAUACCCUCCAGGUUUUGUCGUUGGGAGGAAUCAGGUCUGAUAUUCUCGUGUCCACAGAAAAAGGAAAAAACGGUUCCUAGUGAAUUACUACGCUAUUCUGUACGCUCUAAUGUAAAAGUGUGCCUCUAGUAGAACUGUAGAAGAUGUAGCUAUCAGUGUAUCGUUGCAUUUUGGCCCAUGUUUACUUCUCAAUAUGACUUGAUUUGAAUUGAUUUUCAUUGCUUGAGGCCUUGUUUAGUUC